UACUAAAGGCGAAAAGGAAAUAAUAUUACACGGUUUAGGAGCCGCUAUUCAACGUUGUUGCAACUUAGCUCUGCAGUUGGAGAUAUUAUUCUCAGGCACGUGCCAAAUUGAAGUUAACACUGGCACAGUGGAUGUGGUUGAUGACUUGGAGCCGCUAACUGAUGACUUGGAUUUUGGUGCCCAAGUAAGGCAUUCCUCUUCCAUUCACAUCCGUGUGUUCCGAACUGCAAUGCUUGGAGCCAACCAGUAGUCAACAUGUUUUUCACACUCAAUGAAAUUGUGCAGUGGAUAGGACUGACAGUGUUUGAGAUAUGGAUAAACUUGAUAACAAUCACAAUUUUCUCAGUGCUCUUAGCCUUAAAGAUUGAUGGUAUAGUGACCAGUGCUUGGUGGACCAUAUUUGCUCCCCUGUUUGUUAGUGAUGCAAUGAAUGCAUACUUUUGUUGCAUAGUGUGCAUAAGAAUGAAUUUAGAAAAUUCAUAUAAGGCUUCAUUGUAUAGGGCGUCUUGGAGUGCAAUAUUUCUGGGACUAACAUUUGUAUUUAAAUUUCUCUUGUGUAGGAAGUUGCAAGGUGAUUCUGCUAUAGAGUAUAGUGAAGUAUUUGCUCCUUUGUUCAUAUUGUUACAACUAAUAGCUGUAAGAGCAUGUCAACUCCAUCAAUAAAUAAUAAGUACUUUAUUAAAAAAAUGUUAAUUGCUUUUCUUUAACCUUUUGAAUGCUAUCUGUCAAUGCCAAAAACCAUCAUCAAAAAUCAGCAUCACUGGCAUAAGCUAUCAUAUGUUUAAAUAUACCUAAAGACCCUAAAGUGUCUGUGGUUACCUUGACAACAUACCCAUAUGAGCAGGCAUGCUGUACUUGGCUCAACAACCAUAAUUUCUUGGUGUUCAAAGGGUUGAAAUAAAUAGUAGAUAAGUUUUGUAUCAGUAAUUUUUAUUUUAAGCAUUAUAAUCAUGUAAUGUUAACAUUUUGACCAAGGCAUGAAUAGGAUAACAAUUACUAUAGAUUCAGCCUUCAUUAAAACUAAUUUUACAUGUUUUUAUAGCUAUCUAAAAUGGUUAAGGAAAAAGUAAUAAAAGCUAAGAGAUUUGAAACUAAAUAACAUAGCAGUAGCCUUAUUGAUCUGUUAAAUAUCAUUUAAUUAAACAUAUUAAAUAGUC